CAUUUACUCACUUCGUCUGGAAAUACUUGUCGAAGAAAUAGAUAUUUCUAGACAUAUUUUAGUUCUAGAUAUAUCCAUUUUUAUUGAUUUCUCUGACAAGUAUUUUUGGACGAAGGGAGUACUAC
rfam:Triticum urartu cultivar G1812 contig264703, whole genome shotgun sequence.